AUUUCCAAAAUCAAACUUACAUGUGUAAUAAAACUUCAGUUAGUUCUAGAAACAUGUUAUAUGACCACCCUGAACACUUCUGUGUCUGUAUCUCAUGUUUCACCAUACAUUUUACACAUUUACAUCAUUAUAUAGAGGGUUUUUUCCAUUGUAUAGACCAAAAAAGGUGGUGGGUUUUUUUCUAAGCAGUAUUCAGAAAAUUUAGGUGUUAUCACAAAUAUUAACAAAUUGAUAAAACUAUUAAGUCAGUUAUGGUCCAGAAAGAUUCUCCCACUGACUUAUCACUGAAGUCACAGGAGAACUUCAUCUUUGCUUGCAAAAACCAGUGAACUGACUUGAGAAUCAUCAUACUUGUGCAGAAAUGGGCUAGUGCUUCCAUAAAAAAUCCAUCUAAUAGCUGGAGUACCAGAUAUGGGACCUCAGUUACUGUGUUUGGUUCCCUUUUCCAAAGACGACUUCCUCACCAUUUUUAGGGAAGUUUCUCUACCUCUUUAACGUAAGGAUAUUGUUUUCCUUGUGAAACAGACUGUGGUUCCCUUUUCCAAAGAUGACUUCCUCACCAUUUUUAGGUAAGCUUCUCUACCUCUUUUAACAUAAGGAUAUUGUUUUCCUUGUGAAACAGACUGCAAUUCAUACAGAUUCAAUAGAAAGGGGAUCUAAUAAAUGUAUAAGCAAAUCUUGUAUCUGUGAUUCAGAAGGGUUGGCAGCUACCCUGGAGUACUGCCAACAUCUACACUAAACAAACUACAAUAAAUUCUGACACCCCACUUGUUUUCACUAGGUAUCUUAUGCUACAUGCACAUUAGGAAGCAGCAACAGUAGCUGAUCCAUAAAGCAAAACAGUUGGUGGUGAGAACUCACUAGCAAUGCUACGUAUGUUUUGGUGGGUCUACCAUCAGACCAGACUAACUUUAGUCCAGUCCAGUAAGCAAAUGCAUGCUAUAGAGCAUACUAGGUGUGCUUCCACCAGCACAGCUUUCAAUUUGUUUUCCUUUAAUGGAACCUAUUUGCAUGCUUUGAGACUGCUCCACAAGGUAAAUCAAAGUACAAUUACAGGAUAUAUAAAAAACACUCUCCUGACAAAAACUAAAAUGUAGACUCACUUGAAGGUCACUGGGUUCAAACAGAUCGUUCACCAAAUUGAGGGCUGAUUUAGAUGGUCAACAUCAAAUAGCUUCUAAGAUACAUUUUAGGCCAGCAAGAUAACCUCAGCGAGUCGUGUCAUUUGAAUUUUAAGAUCUGAUUUUUAAAGUAUAAGCACAGGAGAAUUUCUAGAAAACCCCUGCAGGAAAGAAUCUGUUCUUUAUCUCAAGAGCUUUCCCAUAACUUUGUGUUGCUUAGGAGAGACUAUCUUCAGACUACUAAACUGGCCUUGUCAUUUGUAUAUAAACUGGGCUGUAUUAUCAACACUUGGUGACUUAUUGCUGUAUUCCCUCUUAGGCAGCUUCAGGUAAGACAGCAUCUUUUACUUUGAUGAUGAUUUUUCCUAAUUAUCUCAUUUUUGGGGACCUCAAGGUUUCCAAAAGACUUAAACAAACCCUGAAAAGUAACCAUGCCAAAAACAUUCAGUUUUUUCUAUUAUUCAACACUUUAUUUUCAGCUAGCUAGAAAUCCAUCUGUUUUGUUGUUGUUAAUAGGAAAUGCAGAUUUUGCAAAGUAAAAAUAUCCAAGUAGUAAUUUCAAUUUUGCAAUUUUCCAACAAUCUAACGACAAAAAAAGUUUUUUAACAGAUUAAUUUCAAUUCAGAUUGCCUCAGUGUAUUGAAAACCAGAAGAAAAACAUGGAGAUCUUCAUUUCAAAAUGCAGCAGAUAUACCAGAGAUGGCCCCAAGUAUUCUAGCCUAGCUUCUAUCUGGAAACUACAAAGUGCUGAGUACAAGCUAAAAGUCUCACGUGCUGUAUGUAUAUAUGGAUAGCCAUACAAGUAUAUUAUGGCUAUAUAGUAUCCAAGACCAAAUAGCAUCUCUGUAAAGUACUACACAGGUUAUGUGGACAUGAAAUCCCUGCUCUAUGGGAGCCCAUCUCUUGACUGAACUGUCUAUGUUCUGGAAGACUCAACAUGGUGAGACAACCUGGCCCACAAAUAAACAAUGACACCUGAGACAUCAGAAUUGUUACUCCCAGCAGGCAUCGUGACACCUCAGACUGAUGCUGAGGUCCAAGGCUCCAAAACAUCUAUUUUUCUGUUAUGCCCAUUUAUUUUAUUUUUUUUUUAAAUCAGUUCAUACAUUUUGCUGACCAAGUUCCCCAUCUUUUCAGGAUUGUCAUGUUAUAAUUUGAGACGAAAACUACUGUCAAAAUACAAACACUACUUAUAGAAAGCAAAUAUUAUUUUCAUUCCAGUCUUCUCAGAAGGUAGUAAAACGAUUUUUCCAAUAAAAUACAGUGUGUGAAAGUUAUGUAUUAAAGAACACUUGUCCCGAGAA